UCAGCUCAGUCGGUAGAGUGUGAGACUUUUAACCUCAUGGUCAUGGGUUUGAGCCCCCGUUGGGCAAAA